rnacentral:rRNA from 1 species
GAUGAACGCUGGCGGCGUGCCUAAUACAUGCAAGUCGAGCGAACGGACGAGAAGCUUGCUUCUCUGAUGUUAGCGGCGGACGGGUGAGUAACACGUGGAUAACCUACCUAUAAGACUGGGAUAACUUCGGGAAACCGGAGCUAAUACCGGAUAAUAUUUUGAACCGCAUGGUUCAAAAGUGAAAGACGGUCUUGCUGUCACUUAUAGAUGGAUCCGCGCUGCAUUAGCUAGUUGGUAAGGUAACGGCUUACCAAGGCAACGAUGCAUAGCCGACCUGAGAGGGUGAUCGGCCACACUGGAACUGAGACACGGUCCAGACUCCUACGGGAGGCAGCAGUAGGGAAUCUUCCGCAAUGGGCGAAAGCCUGACGGAGCAACGCCGCGUGAGUGAUGAGGGUCUUCGGAUCGUAAAACUCUGUUAUUAGGGAAGAACAUAUGUGUAAGUAACUGUGCACAUCUUGACGGUACCUAAUCAGAAAGCCACGGCUAACUACGUGCCAGCAGCCGCGGUAAUACGUAGGUGGCAAGCGUUAUCCGGAAUUAUUGGGCGUAAAGCGCGCGUAGGCGGUUUUUUAAGUCUGAUGUGAAAGCCCACGGCUCAACCGUGGAGGGUCAUUGGAAACUGGAAAACUUGAGUGCAGAAGAGGAAAGUGGAAUUCCAUGUGUAGCGGUGAAAUGCGCAGAGAUAUGGAGGAACACCAGUGGCGAAGGCGACUUUCUGGUCUGUAACUGACGCUGAUGUGCGAAAGCGUGGGGAUCAAACAGGAUUAGAUACCCUGGUAGUCCACGCCGUAAACGAUGAGUGCUAAGUGUUAGGGGGUUUCCGCCCCUUAGUGCUGCAGCUAACGCAUUAAGCACUCCGCCUGGGGAGUACGACCGCAAGGUUGAAACUCAAAGGAAUUGACGGGGACCCGCACAAGCGGUGGAGCAUGUGGUUUAAUUCGAAGCAACACGAAGAACCUUACCAAAUCUUGACAUCCUUUGACAACUCUAGAGAUAGAGCCUUCCCCUUCGGGGGGGCAAAGUGACAGGUGGUGCAUGGUUGUCGUCAGCUCGUGUCGUGAGAUGUUGGGUUAAGUCCCGCAACGAGCGCAACCCUUAAGCUUAGUUGCCAUCAUUAAGUUGGGCACUCUAAGUUGACUGCCGGUGACAAACCGGAGGAAGGUGGGGAUGACGUCAAAUCAUCAUGCCCCUUAUGAUUUGGGCUACACACGUGCUGCAAUGGACAAUACAAAGGGCAGCGAAACCGCGAGGUCAAGCAAAUCCCAUAAAGUUGUUCUCAGUUCGGAUUGUAGUCUGCAACUCGACUACAUGAAGCUGGAAUCGCUAGUAAUCGUAGAUCAGCAUGCUACGGUGAAUACGUUCCCGGGUCU